UCCCCCGACACUUACUAUUUUUUUCCUCUUUCUCUCAAACUUUCGAACCCUAGCUAAUAACUGUGAGACUCAGCAGCUCAUUCACCUUGCCGACCUCAUCGUUCUCCAAGCUGACCUGCCUUGAGUUCCCGACAUCCUUCUCCAACCUGACGUGCUCCAAGUCCCCGACUUCAUUCUCCGACCUAAGCUGACUGGAGCCACCUCCGAUCUGACCCAGAGUCCCCGACCUCGCUCUCUGACCCUGAGUUCCCGGCCUCGCUCUCUGACCCAACCUCCCUCUCCAGACCUCGAGCUUGAGAUCCGUGGCUACUGUCUCUCCCUCAUUAACCUCCUCCGUCCCCUCACCGGCGCCAUCGCCUCUGCCGGCAAGCUCUCUUCCCCUGCAAGCCGAUGCUUCUCGUCCAACGACAGCACAUCCUUGCUCUGAGAUCCGAACCCCAACUAGUCCAAAUGGCCUCCACACUUUGUUCUUUGUUUCUGGGUUUGCAGAUUUCGGGUUCUUCCUGCUCUCUCUCUGUCUCUUUUGAUUUUUAUUUCUUUUUAGUCUCUGAAAGAUUUUGUUCAAGAUCUAAGAAUUCACUUGUUUGUGAUUGUUAGUGACACUGAUAUUGUUCUUUGUUUGAUUUGACUGGGUUUACUUAGGUCUCUUUGCUUUGGAGAAAUGGAGGCCACAAUGCCCAUUUGCAAGACUGAUACUCCAACUCCGGUAGAGCAGUAACCCGUUGAAAAGUGAAACCCAGUUUGGCCCCCUCUGAUAAUUCUGCGCCGCUCGUCGUCUGUAGCUCUCUCUCUCUCUAUCUCUGUGUGAAGCUUCGGAAUUUAGCUAAAGAUGAAGAAGCGGGGGACUCUGGGGUUCGAAGAUUCCAAGGCCGUGUGCACUGAAGAAGCUUCGGAAUUUUGAGUGCUUAACCGCCUAAAGAUCACUGGGAGAGUGAUGGUGUGACAGAGUAAAAGCCUAAUCCUUCAAUAUAUUUGAUAGCUGCAAAGGUUUUCGGAGCAGCUUGAAGCUCUGGAAAGAUCUGCUGAGGCAAUAUCUUUUGGUGGAAUUAACCACGCUUUCCUAUUGUGUUCUGAUACAGGACAAUGAGUUGGUCCAGUUGAAGCAUGAAGCAAGGCUGAAAGGAGGAUUCUAUGUCGAGCUAGAGUCUAAGCUUUUGUUUAUAUAUUGAGAUCUUUAUAGUUAUGGUUCUUUUCCUUAUACUUUUAAUUAUUGUAUUUUCAGUAUCAAUGCCAUUGAUCCAAAGACAAAGAAGAUCUUGCAGCUUUUGUGAUUGAGACAGGUCAAUGAAGCAUCCAACUAUACCCAAAGUUCCAUAUCCCCCAACAUAAGAAGAUCAAGUGUUGCUUGUCAUGGAAUUGUGAUGAGCUCCUACUCUUGUCAAAGUGAAGCUUGAAGAAGACAAGAAAGACGCUUGCCUUAUUUGUUUCCCACAGCCAUGUUUAUUGGAUCAUUAUGAAUAAUUGAUCCAUUCCAUUUUGUAGCCAAAUUAUUUUGUAGUACGUGAAUUGGGGUUUUAUUUUGUCCAUUUUGUAAAUUGUUAAGGAUGAUGAUUUCAAAUAAAAUACCACAAUAUUCAAAUCA